AAACAUGGCCGGCCCCCAAAUGCUUCGACAUUCCUUCCAUUGAGAAGUCAAGGGUCGAUGUCCUCUCCCUUGAAUCUGAUCAGGUGGCAUAAAAGCACUUGUAUGCCAGAUACUGUUCCAAGUGAAUACAUUUAAUCUUCAGACUGAUCCCAGGAGUUAUGAAACACUAGGAGCCCAGCGUGCAAUUCGAAAUCGCGCGGCGCCGCCCACCCUCGAGUCGCCUGUCUGGCCCUGCCUCGCUCCCCGGGACCCCCAGCAGCC